AUCUAAUGAUUCGGGUACUGUGUGAUCUUAUUUUUGAACCUUUCCCAAGUUUCAUAAAGAGCUUCAGUUGGAAGCUGCCUAAAAUUACAGAUUUCAUCUCUUAACU
rfam:Capsicum annuum cultivar Zunla-1 chromosome 1, whole genome shotgun sequence